rnacentral:misc_RNA from 1 species
GUCUUUUUGUUUUAGUUUUGGUUUGUAUAUGGGGUAAAAAGGGGGGGGAAAAAGGGGGGGUUGUGUUGGAGAGAAGAAAAAGAAUCUGUGGGCUUUCUCGAGGAAAAAUGCGGUUGGGCUGGCGAACAGUUUCCGCAAGACCCAAGACAAACAAACCUCGAGAAAAAGCCCAAGAUCGAGCACACAAGGAGGGUGUAAAACUAUCAGGGGGAGUUCCACUGAUGAUCCUUCCGCAGGUUCACCUACGGAAA